rnacentral:lncRNA from 1 species
UCUAAAAGAGACAAUCUUACAAACAGACAUAAUCUUUCAACAAAAGAAAUUAAGAAAAUAACAAUAAACAAGCUAAUAGUCUAACAAUAAAAUCUGCCAGUGUAGAAAGAAGAAUGAUAUUUAAAUAUGAAUAAAUACAUUGUCAAUUUCAUUGGCUGUCUCCAAAUGCUGCAUAGCACAUUCAUCAGACCUUAAUUUUGAGUUGGAUGAAGCAAACACCAAAGAUCCAUGUGCCUUAUUUUUGAGAAAAAGAGCUCAUUAUUCUAUCAUGGAAUCUACAAAGCUCUUGAAAUUCUUAUAGGAAGACCCUCCUUCC